rnacentral:snRNA from 1 species
AUGCUCUGGUUUCUCUUCAUUGUUCGAGCUAAUCUUUCGCCUUUUACUAAAGAUUACCCUGGAGAGGAACAUUGCAAUGCCCCGCCGGUGUCUCUAGCUGGUGUCUCCAGGGCAGCCU